AGUGUAGGCGGUCAAGCAAGUCAGAAGUGAAAGGCAUCGGCUCAACCGAUGUAAGCUUUUGAAACUGUUUGACUUGAGUGCAGGAGAGGUAAGUGGAAUUCCUAGUGUAGCGGUGAAAUGCGUAGAUAUUAGGAGGAACACCAGUGGCGAAGGCGACUUACUGGACUGUAACUGACGCUGAGGCUCGAAAGCGUGGGCAGCAAACA
rnacentral:rRNA from 1 species